AAGCAACAGAAUUCCAAUGAUUGGAAAUCACAAACGUACGAGCAGAGAAACGAAAGACGAAAAGGCGAGAAUGGAAGGAUGAAAUAAACAAUAUCACCAAAAGUAAAUAUUCAAGGGAGCCCCGCUACACAACACCACUCAUGAAGAGCACAAUGACCAAGGAAGAAAUGAGGUACGUUUUAACAUAAACAUAUGUUAUGUUUUACUGAUUAUGCGACUUCCUCUAAUGUGACCAAGCUGCAUAAAAGCACAUCUGUUAUUAUGUCGAGAGGGUAAAUGGUGGGUUUUCAUAGUUUGGCCCCCAGGUGUCUCUGAUUCAUAGCUCCUCUUUCUAAAGGAAGGACGGGUUUCUCUUCAGUCCCAAGAGACGUCUCACUCCGUCCCCCCACAUGCUCUGAAUCCCACCACUUGAACCCGAGCAGCACUUCUCCUAAACCAUCAGAACAGAACACGGACGCACCGUGUUGAUAAAACCGGACCGACGCAGACAGGGAGGAGGUCAGCUAUGGGAAAUAUGCUGCCAGCCCACGCAGCAACUGUGCUGCAGGUUGGAAACAGUCUUUCCCGCCUCCCUAAUCGAACGUUCUCCUCUCUGACGGUGAGUGCGAGAAAGAUGGCGGCGAGGAGCUGAGGAGCCUGAGAGGAGUGAUGGAAGGUGAAAACGAACACCCGCAGGACGAGAUGGCAGCUGAUUCCCGGUAGGCUCCUCAAGGACGACACGCAAUCUGCGCCUACUCUAUCGCUGCUCUGGUUACGUCUUUACCAGGUGACGAGGACAGCAGGACAACUGCCCUUCAAUAUUUAUGGGUAACAGAAGGAACAUCUUUUUGACUGAACAUGUAUCCAUAGUCCAAACUCGACUAGACCAUUGAAGACAUGGUCGGGCUUCACCUGGCGGCGGGGUCGUCGUCGGCGAGUGUGUGUUGUGGUGAGUCGGAGGAGGAGACGGGACCCUCCUCUCCGUCCUGAGGCAGCUCUUCACAUUCGGUCUCGCACUUCUCGUCG